GGGGAUUUAGCUCAGUGGCACAGCACCUGCCUGGCAAGCAUGAAGCCCUGAGUUCAAUUUCCA
rnacentral:tRNA from 1 species